rnacentral:rRNA from 1 species
AUGAACGCUGGCGGCGUGCCUAACACAUGCAAGUCGAACGAACCUUGGGGAACAGAUUACUUCGGUUUGAAGUUCCCCGCUGGUUAGUGGCGGACGGGUGAGUAACGCGUGGGUAACCUGCCGUAUGCAGGGGGAUAACAGUUAGAAAUGACUGCUAAUACCGCAUAAGCGCACGGAGACGCAUGUCUUUGUGUGAAAAGCCGAGACGGUAUGAGAUGGACCCGCGUCUGAUUAGUUAGUUGGUGGGGCAACGGCCUACCAAGGCGACGAUCAGUAGCCGGUCUGAGAGGAUGAACGGCCACAUUGGAACUGAGACACGGUCCAGACUCCUACGGGAGGCAGCAGUGGGGAAUCUUCCGCAAUGGGCGAAAGCCUGACGGAGCAACGCCGCGUGAGUGAAGAAGGUCUUCGGAUCGUAAAGCUCUGUUGUCGGGGACGAAUGUUGAGGCCUAGAACAUAGGUUUCAAAUGACGGUACCUGACGAGGAAGCCACGGCUAACUACGUG